ensembl:misc_RNA 7SK 7SK RNA
UGCUGUACACAAACUUGGGUACUCUGCACUAUUCACCACUGAGCCAUCUCUCCAACCUCAGGAGGAUCAUUCUAGAAUUAAGGGUAUUCAAGGAGCUGUGCUCUCUUGCUAGAACCUGCAAACAAGCUCUCACUGUAGCCUUGUGAGAGACUUUGAACCUGGGAGCCCAGCUAACCCAAUCCCAGUUUUCUACAAAAGCCUGGGAUAAUAAGAGUAUAAGUUCUAGGGCUAUCUGU